rnacentral:rRNA from 1 species
UACGUAGGGGGCAAGCGUUGUCCGGAAUCAUUGGGCGUAAAGAGCGCGUAGGCGGUCCGGUAAGUCCGCUCUGAAAGUCCGGGGCUCAACCCCGGGAGGCGGGCGGAUACUGUCGGGCUAGAGUCCGGAAGAGGCGAGUGGAAUUCCUGGUGUAGCGGUGAAAUGCGCAGAUAUCAGGAGGAACACCAAUAGCGAAGGCAGCUCGCUGGGACGUUACUGACACUGAGGCGCGAAAGCGUGGGGAGCGAACAGG